rnacentral:rRNA from 1 species
GAGUUUGAUCCUGGCUCAGGAUGAACGCUAGCGGCAGGCUUAACACAUGCAAGUCGAGGGGUAACGGGGAAGCUUGCUUCCGCCGACGACCGGCGCACGGGUGCGUAACGCGUAUACAAUCUACCUUGUACUGGGGUAUUGCCUUUAGAAAUGAAGAUUAAUCCCCCAUAGUCUCUUAGAGUGGCAUCACUUCUAGAGUAAAGGUUACGGUAUAAGAUGAGUAUGCGUUCUAUUAGUUUGUUGGUGUGGUAACGGCACACCAAGACUACGAUAGAUAGGGGCCCUGAGAGGGGGAUCCCCCACACUGGUACUGAGACACGGACCAGACUCCUACGGGAGGCAGCAGUGAGGAAUAUUGGACAAUGGAGGCAACUCUGAUCCAGCCAUGCCGCGUGCAGGAAGACUGCCCUAUGUGUUGUAAACUGCUUUUAUACAGGAAGAAACACCUCUACGUGUAGAGGCUUGACGGUACUGUAAGAAUAAGGAUCGGCUAACUCCGUGCCAGCAGCCGCGGUAAUACGGAGGAUCCAAGCGUUAUCCGGAAUCAUUGGGUUUAAAGGGUCCGUAGGUGGAUAAUUAAGUCAGAGGUGAAAUCUUGCAGCUCAACUGUAAAAUUGCCUUUGAAACUGGUUGUCUUGAGUUAUUAUGAAGUAGUUAGAAUAUGUAGUGUAGCGGUGAAAUGCAUAGAUAUUACAUAGAAUACCAAUUGCGAAGGCAGAUUACUAAUAAUCAACUGACACUGAUGGACGAAAGCGUGGGUAGCGAACAGGAUUAGAUACCCUGGUAGUCCACGCCGUAAACGAUGGUUACUAGCUGUUUGGACUUCGGUCUGAGUGGCUAAGCGAAAGUGAUAAGUAACCCACCUGGGGAGUACGUUCGCAAGAAUGAAACUCAAAGGAAUUGACGGGGGCCCGCACAAGCGGUGGAGCAUGUGGUUUAAUUCGAUGAUACGCGAGGAACCUUACCAGGGCUUAAAUGUAAGUUGCAUUAGCUAGAGAUAGCUAUUUCUUCGGACCACUUACAAGGUGCUGCAUGGUUGUCGUCAGCUCGCGCCGUGAGGUGUCAGGUUAAGUCCUAUAACGAGCGCAACCCCUGUUGUUAGUUGCCAGCGAGUCAUGUCGGGAACUCUAACAAGACUGCCAGUGCAAACUGUGAGGAAGGUGGGGAUGACGUCAAAUCAUCACGGCCCUUACGUCCUGGGCUACACACGUGCUACAAUGGUAGGUACAGAGAGCAGCCACUGCGCGAGCAGGAGCGAAUCUAUAAAACCUAUCACAGUUCGGAUCGGAGUCUGCAACUCGACUCCGUGAAGCUGGAAUCGCUAGUAAUCGGAUAUCAGCCAUGAUCCGGUGAGUACGUUCCCGGGCCUUGUACUCACCGCCCGUC